rnacentral:rRNA from 1 species
GUGAACGCUGGCGGUAGGCCUAACACAUGCCAGUCGAACGGCAGCACAGUAAGAGCUUGCUCUUACGGGUGGCGAGUGGCGGACGGGUGAGGAAUACAUCGGAAUCUACUUUUUCGUGGGGGAUAACGUAGGGAAACUUACGCUAAUACCGCAUACGACCUACGGGUGGAAGCAGGGGAUCUUCGGACCUUGCGCGAUUGAAUGAGCCGAUGUCGGAUUAGCUAGUUGGCGGGGUAAAGGCCCACCAAGGCGACGAUCCGUAGCUGGUCUGAGAGGAUGAUCAGCCACACUGGAACUGAGACACGGUCCAGACUCCUACGGGAGGCAGCAGUGGGGAAUAUUGGACAAUGGGCGCAAGCCUGAUCCAGCCAUACCGCGUGGGUGAAGAAGGCCUUCGGGUUGUAAAGCCCUUUUGUUGGGAAAGAAAAGCAGCAGGUUAAUACCCCGCUGUUCUGACGGUACCCAAAGAAUAAGCACCGGCUAACUUCGUG